GACGAACGCUGGCGGCGUGCCUAAUACAUGCAAGUAGAACGCUGAAGAGAGGAGCUUGCUCUUCUUGGAUGAGUUGCGAACGGGUGAGUAACGCGUAGGUAACCUGCCUUGUAGCGGGGGAUAACUAUUGGAAACGAUAGCUAAUACCGCAUAACAAUGGAUGACACAUGUCAUUUAUUUGAAAGGGGCAAUUGCUCCACUACAAGAUGGACCUGCGUUGUAUUAGCUAGUAGGUGAGGUAAUGGCUCACCUAGGCGACGAUACAUAGCCGACCUGAGAGGGGGCUCUGCCACGCUGGGACUGAGACACGGCCCAGACUCCUGCGGGAGGCAGCCGUAGGGAAUCUUCGGCAAUGGGGGCAACCCUGACCGAGCAACGCCGCGUGAGUGAAGAAGGUUUUCGGAUCGUAAAGCUCUGUUGUAAGUCAAGAACGUGUGUGAGAGUGGAAAGUUCACACUGUGACGGUAGCUUACCAGAAAGGGACGGCUAACUACGUG
rnacentral:rRNA from 1 species